rnacentral:rRNA from 1 species
CCUACGGGUGGCUGCAGUGAGGAAUAUUGGUCAAUGGGCGCGAGCCUGAACCAGCCAAGUAGCGUGAAGGAUGACUGCCCUACGGGUUUUAAACUUCUUUUAUAAAGGAAUAAGGUGAGGCACGUGAGCCUUUUUGUAUGUACUUUAUGAAUAAGGAUAGGCUAACUCCGUGCCAGCAGCCGCGGUAAUACGGAGGGUCCGAGCGUUAUCCGGAUUUAUUGGGUUUAAAGGGAGCGUAGAUGGGUUGUUAAGUCAGUUGUGAAAGUCUGCGGCUCAACCGUAAAAUUGCAAUUGAUACUGGCAGUCUUGAGUACAGUUGAGGUAAGCGGAAUUCGUGGUGUAGCGGUGAAAUGCUUAGAUAUCACGAAGAACACCGAUUGCGAAGGCAGCUUACUAAACUGCCACUGACACUGAGGCUCGAAAGUGUGGGUAUCAAACAGGAUUAGAUACCCUGGUAGUC